UACGUAGGGGGCAAGCGUUGUCCGGAUUUAUUGGGCGUAAAGAGCGUGUAGGCGGCUAGAUAGGUCCGUUGUGAAAACUCGAGCUCAACCUCGAGACGCCGGUGGAAACCAUCUAGCUAGAGUCCGGAAGAGGAGAGUGGAAUUCCUGGUGUAGCGGUGAAAUGCGCAGAUAUCAGGAAGAACACCCGUGGCGAAGGCGGCUCUCUGGGACGUGACUGACGCUGAGACGCGAAAGCGUGGGGAGCGAACAGG
rnacentral:rRNA from 1 species